UACGGAGGAUGCGAGCGUUAUCCGGAUUUAUUGGGUUUAAAGGGUGCGUAGGCGGAUCGUUAAGUCAGUGGUCAAAUUGAGGGGCUCAACCCCUUCCCGCCAUUGAAACUGGCGAUCUUGAGUGGAAGAGAAGUAUGCGGAAUGCGUAGUGUAGCGGUGAAAUGCAUAGAUAUCACGCAGAACCCCGAUUGCGAAGGCAGCAUGCCGGCUUCCGACUGACGCUGAAGCACGAAAGCGUGGGGAUCGAACAGG
rnacentral:rRNA from 1 species